rnacentral:lncRNA from 1 species
CUGCCUAAUGAUCUUUGUCUGCUAGAAAUAUUCAAAUUUAAAGGCAUAUAUAAAAUAAGUUCAAAAACUUAUGCGAGCCGUAGAUAAGCUAGUUUUUACAAUAAAAUGAGUCAACUUACCUGAUAGCGGGGUUUGAAAUUACACCAUAUCCAGUACUCUUAGAAACGUGCACAUUUGCAAUAAUGAUAUGAUGCAAGACAUAUUACUAGAGGAAGUUUUCAUCUGCAGUAAUUCAUUUUUUAAGGAAAGUAAAAAACUAAACUACUAAAGUAUGAGCUAGAGAAAAAUAAAUUUGCCACCAUAGCAAGUAAAAGAGAUGCAUUCAUUGAAGACCAUGUACUGUCUUGAUAUUCCUCAUGUAGAAGUGAGAAAAAUAUUAGCAAGUUCCCUGACUGAAUAAUCCGCAGAAUAAAAUGUAUUUAUGCUCUCCCAAUUCCCAUAUUAUAUUAAUUUGCGGGUUAAUCAAUUUCAACAUCACACAACAGAACUAAAUUCUAAUUGGAAUCUGGAAAAAACUUUGCGUUAAAUAAAGGAGCUUCUUACUACAAUACUGAGUAAUCUGUAGCAAGAAGCAAAACAUCUAAUGGUCUUCCCUCGAAUGUUAACACUCUUUAAAAAAGAGAAUAAAUUUCAAGCUAGAUUGUCCAUAAGGGUUUCAUUACUGGCUCAAGCAAUAACUACAACUGAAAAACCCAAAUUUUACUGCUACUGAGAUAAAGAAAAUAAAUCAAAUUAAGAGGAAAAGAAAAAAAGAAAAAAAAUCACAUUUAGACGAGCAAUGAUAUUCUGAAGUUGAUUCGCCCAAAUGGAUACUUCACUUCAGAUAUUCCCAAGACACAAUGCAAUACCAAUAAAUCGUAUCCCUAGCCUGAAAAUACCUUAAUAAAAAACUACUUAAAUUGAAACAAUGGAGCAACACAAAAAACAUAAUCCGUGAUUCAAAAAUCAGAGCAGGAGCCAUAAAUUGAGAUGAAGAAUAAUACUUGCAAAAUGUAACUAAUAUGGAUAGAAAAUUGAGAGAGAGCGCAUAUGAAGGGAGGCAGUGCACUAGAGAAGAAGCAGUUCAGCCGAGGUGUUGAAAAGGAAAAACCUAGGGCUAG